UACAGAGGGUGCGAGCGUUAAUCGGAAUUACUGGGCGUAAAGCGUGCGUAGACGGCUAUCUAAGUCGGGUGUGAAAGCCCCGGGCUCAACCUGGGAAUUGCAUUCGAGACUGAAUAGCUAGGGUACGGUAGAGGGAAGCGGAAUUUCCGGUGGAGCGGUGAAAUGCGUAGAGAUCGGAAAGAACACCAACGGCGAAAGCACUCUGCUGGGCUGCAACUGACACUCAGGGACGAAAGCUAGGGGAGCGAAUGGG
rnacentral:rRNA from 1 species